rnacentral:lncRNA from 1 species
AUGUCCGAGAGAAUAUCUCAAGACUGUUGGUGAUUUAAAAUGAUAUAAGCCUCAGAUUUUAAAAAGUCUCUUGCUCAAGAUGUCCUGUUCUAGUUAGUAAUAAUGGUUACCUAAAACUGACUUCCAGCAUGCUGUGGUUGUACUUACCACCUCUUCUAGUCUAAUAAUAUGAUUGUUAAGAAGGUUUACUACGAACCAUUAUCCAAAGCAGCCAUCUGCUAGCUACAUAAUUAAUUAUGUGCAUAAAUAAAAUCAGCUAGUCAGCAAAAGCCUUUGGUUUAAAGUGGUGGGAGAACUGAUGGCUAUAAAAGGUAAAAUUUAAAAAUAUAUCUUUCUUAUUCAGGGAAGGACAUGAGGGUGUUGACUCUGUGGUAUCAGGUGGCUGUGCCGCUGUUUCUCUUUAACUUUCUGCCUUAUGGGAAAUAGGAAGUACUAAGCUGAUUGUCAAGAUAAUGGUAAAAUCUUUUCCAGGUAAUUAGGAAUGCUAGAAAAAUCAAACAAAAUGAACUUUCAAAAUUCCAGCUCUGCUUAUUCACUCAGUAUCCUGCUGGCUAGGUUUUGUGAGGGGUGGGAAAUUGGGGUAUAUAUAUGUAUAUAUGUAUAAGCCUUCCACUGUCUCUUUCCUGCUUUAGGAUAAAGACAGAAGAUGAUAAAGAGAGCUAAAGGAGGCUUCAUAUUCAGGAUGCUGACUUCUGGGUAAGAAGCAACCUGGGUAAAAGCAGAAAUUACUCAAUGACAACAUGAGGUUCCCUUAACACUUCCUUUGGGAAUAUCACAGUCUUGGUCCUCAAGUUAAAGCCUCUACAUCAGACAGCUGAGAAUAAUCGGUAUUAACACUUCCAAAGGAGUUUCUGCCUUUAGAUGUUUUCCUGUGCCAGUUAAGCUUCCAGGCCUCUUUGCUUGUGCAUGUAGGGGCAAGACAUUGACCCUUCUUUCUCAUUUCAUUUUCAUGAAUGUAAUGUAUGAGAGAGAGCACUGUGAUCAUCUAUGCAAGUCUCAUUCCAAACUUUUAUCCAAAAUGCAAUUCUACCUGGAACUGAAAUCAUCCUACUUUUCAUCUCACAUCUAAUUGACUAUAAUAAUCAUAUAAUCUACUAAACCACUCUCAGAGAGUUUAUACUGCAUUAAAGGUUUAGAGUACCCCAGCUUAUCUGAAGCCCUCUUAAUCAAUGGAGACAAUUAUAUUCAUUCUCUUGAAUUUUCCUAACAGUUUCACACUCACAGAAUCCUCUCAAGGUCUGCAUGGAUGUUUCUCCAUUGUCCCUUUCCUUCCUAGCUGGGUCAUAGGCCAUAUGUGGUUCUAAGACUUCUUUUCCCCCAUUACUUCCCCACAGAGGACUGAGAGGCUGCAGGUCAUUCUUGCCUACUCCUCUUCUUGUGGUAUAAUCACUGGCAACUACUUUGCUGGUUCCUUUCCUUGUUUUAACAGCCAAGAAUCCUCUAGCUUCUAAGGUUUGACCAGAGUAAGUGUUGUUAGUCUAGUGCCCUUGGGUGAAACACAAUGAAGGUGCAUCCGUGUCCUGAGGGAGAAGCAAUAAAGUGUUCUGGGGCCAAACAAUCCCCGAAACAGGGCAGAACACUGGGCAAAGUUCCUCAUAAUCCAAGAUUUCAGAGAAGUACCAUUAGAUAUAUGCAAUAAAGCUGAUACAUAACACAAAAACUAAAUUAAAUCAGUACAAUAAGAAUAGAGAGAUCAAAGGAACAGAAAAAUUCCAAAACAGAUCUCAGAUACAAUAGAGAAAACAUCAUAAAUCAUAGAUGAAGGGGAGAUAAGGCUGAGACGCUUGAGCUUUGGAAAACAUACAACUUAGAUACCCAGUAAGUAGAAAUUACACAUGGAUUUGAGUUAUUUAGUCAGUAAAUAUAUACUUACCUA